rfam:Harpegnathos saltator strain R22 G/1 HarSal_1.0_3.contig4002, whole genome shotgun sequence.
CGUCAGAUAGCUCAGUGGUCUAGAGCAGUCGUCCGGCAAGCGAAAGACCCGGGUUCGAUUCCCGGUCUAGCGA